GAAGCAGCAGUAGGGAAUAUUCCACAAUGGACGAAAGUCUGAUGGAGCGACACAGCGUGCAGGAUGAAGGCCCUAUGGGUUGUAAACUGCUGUGGUUAGAGAAGAAAAAGUAGCAUAGGAAAUGAUGCUACCUUGACGGUACCUGAUUAGAAAGCAACGGCUAACUAUGUGCCAGCAGCCGCGGUAAUACAUAGGUUGCAAGCGUUAUCCGAAAUUAUUGGGCGUAAAGCGUCUGUAGGUUGUUUGUUAAGUCUGGCGUUAAAUUUUGGGGCUCAACCCCAAAACGCGUUGGAUACUGGCAGACUAGAGUUAUGUAGAGGUUAGCGGAAUUCCUUGUGAAGCGGUGAAAUGCGUAGAUAUAAGGAAGAACAUCAAUAUGGCGAAGGCAGCUAACUGGGCAUACACUGACACUGAGAGACGAAAGCGUGGGGAGCAAACAGGAUUAGAUACCCUGGUAGUCCACGCCCUAAACGAUGAUCAUUAGUUGAUGGGGAACUCAUCGACGCAGCUAACGCAUUAAAUGAUCCGCCUGAGUAGUACGUUCGCAAGAAUAAAACUUAAAGGAAUUGACGGGGAUCCGCACAAGCGGUGGAGCAUGUGGUUUAAUUUGAUGUUACGCGUAGAACCUUACCCACUCUUGACAUCUUCUGCAAAGCUAUAGAGACAUAGUGGAGGUUAACAGAAUGACAGAUGGUGCAUGGUUGUCGUCAGCUCGUGUCGUGAGAUGUUCGGUUAAGUCCUGCAACGAGCGCAACCCUUAUCCUUAGUUACUACCAUUUAGUUGAGCACUCUAAGGAGACUGCCCGAGUAAUCGGGAGGAAGGUGGGGACGACGUCAAAUCAUCAUGCCUCUUACGAGUGGGGCUACACACGUGCUACAAUGGACGGUACAAAGAGAAGCGAAGUGGUGACAUGGAGCAAACCUCAAAAAACCGUCUCAGUUC
rnacentral:rRNA from 1 species